rnacentral:rRNA from 1 species
UACGUAGGGGGGCAAGCGUUUGUCCGGAUUUAUUGGGCGUAAAGAGCGUGUAGGCGGCUUGGUAGGUCUCGCGUCAAAACCUGAGGCUCAACCUCAGUUCGCGUGGGAAACCACCUAGCUAGAGUCCGGAAGAGGAGAACGGAAUUCCCAGUGUAGCGGUGAAAUGCGCAGAUAUUGGGAAGAACACCAGUGGCGAAGGCGGUUCUCUGGGACGGUACUGGACGCUGAGACGCGAAAGCGUGGGGAGCGAACAGG